GAUGAACGCUAGCUACAGGCUUAACACAUGCAAGUCGAGGGGCAGCAUGGUCUUAGCUUGCUAAGGCCGAUGGCGACCGGCGCACGGGUGAGUAACACGUAUCCAACCUGCCGUCUACUCUUGGACAGCCUUCUGAAAGGAAGAUUAAUACAAGAUGGCAUCAUGAGUCCGCAUGUUCACAUGAUUAAAGGUAUUCCGGUAGACGAUGGGGAUGCGUUCCAUUAGAUAGUAGGCGGGGUAACGGCCCACCUAGUCUUCGAUGGAUAGGGGUCUGAGAGGACGAUCAGCCACACUGGGACUGAGACACGGCCCAG
rnacentral:rRNA from 1 species